AUUAAAUCGUUAUCAUACAUAUGAUAAUUAAUUAGUCCAUCUCACAUAUGUAUCUAAUUAGCCCAUUUCAAAUAAAAAACAAAUACAUAUAUUUAAUUAGCCGAUUAAUUAGCCCAUUAACGUUACAAUGACAUAAACCCUGAUUUUCUCUCUCCCAUCGCCGCUAUAUUCUUCUUCUUCCCCUUCUCUAUCUUCUUCUUCCCCUUCUCUGUAUUUUCCCCUCCUGCAUCUCCAAAUUUUCUUCACAAGUUCUUUCUCUGUAUUUUCCCCUCCUGCAUCUCCAAAUUUUCUUCACAAGUUCUUCAACCAUCUACAGCUCUCCAUAAUCAGUGUUACUGCAAAGAUGGAGUAAUACUGUUCAAAAACUCAAAAAAGGACGAUUUUGGGAUGGAUUUUUCAGUAUGGUUGGAGCUCAAUUCCACCUCAAAAAUGAGUUUUCCAGAAUGGUUGGAGAUGCCUGAGCCAAUGAUGAAUAGUCAUCUAGUAACAGUGAAAAUUGGAAAAAGGGGCGGAUGGGCUUGUCUCUGCCUUUUAAUUAGUCAUGGGCGUAUCAAACUGUAUUUUGGCAACCGAACAAGGAAUUAAAGGCAGAUUAUUAUAAAGGGA